ACGCCUUAUAUAUAUAGAUAUUUGCAGUUAAUAAACGUGGUAUCAAAGUCACUGUCUGAUAUUAGCCUUCACGAUAAUUUGGUGUAUGUCCGGUUUACUGUGACAAAUGGAGCCUUCAGAGAGAGAGAUGACCUAGUUUUGGUGCCACGGAUUUAUUAGUUUAGAGUUGUCGGAGAAUCUGUCCGUACUUGAAUUUAUUUGGAUAACAGUUCAUCUAGAUAUCUACUCGGCGGCACGAUAAUCCAAAAGUAUACAGCGCUGUUGAGUUUGCAUUUUUGUGUGCAUUGUUCCAUGAACACCUGGUCCUUGCACUGUCAGAUUUCACAUGCACGUUAGAUCAUUUGACGGUAUGUAUAGUAGUUCUUACAUUUUUGCGUCAAGUCGUGGUAGUAGCAUGAGUCAAGUAGAUUGUAAGCAGGUUAACAUUAUUCCUGGUGGUACUUAUGAUAGGUUGUGUAGUCUGGCUGAAAAGCGACUUCAUAAUAUCGUUCAUCCUAAGAUAGUAUAUUUUGUUGCCGGGAUUCCAGAUAUAUGUUCUUUGGUGCGUAUCAAGAACGAAAAAUAUGAAGAAUCAUAUCUUUAUUUAGAGAAGGAUCAUGUUGCACUUAUACAAGAAGCUAUGUCAGAUGUUGAGAAACGUAUGAAAAAUAUAGGAUGUAAAGUUGUUUUCGCAACUAUAACAACAAUGAGUUUCCAGAAAUGGAACACUCACAGGAAAUUCAUUGGUAAAACUGUCCGCCUGAAAAAUGAGUCUGAUUACGAGAGAAUGCAGGAACAAUUAAAUAUAAUUUUACACUCAGUGAAUACAUAUAUUGUACAGAAGAACUUAGAAAAUGGUGUUGUAACCCCUUUCUUACACGCUUUUGUUCAUAAGAGGUGUAAAAGUAAAAUUCGUUAUAUUUAUUCAAUGUUAGUUGAUGGAGUACAUCCUAC